CCGGAAGCUCUGGCAGGGCAGGCACCGUAAAGUAGCCCCGCCCCAUCUUCCC
rnacentral:ncRNA from 1 species